rnacentral:rRNA from 1 species
CUACGGGAGGCAGCAGUGGGGAAUCUUGCGCAAUGGCCGAAAGGCUGACGCAGCGACGCCGCGUGUGGGAUGACGGUCUUCGGAUUGUAAACCACUGUCGGGAGGGACGAAGUUCUGACGGUACCUCCAAAGGAAGCACCGGCUAACUCUGUGCCAGCAGCCGCGGUAAUACAGAGGGUGCGAGCGUUGUCCGGAAUCACUGGGCGUAAAGGGCGCGUAGGCGGCCUGGUAAGUCGGGGGUGAAACGCUGCGGCUCAACCGCAGCACUGCCUUCGAGACUGUCAGGCUGGAGCACGGUAGAGGCUGGUGGAAUUCCCGGUGUAGCGGUGGAAUGCGUAGAGAUCGGGAAGAACAUCGGUGGCGAAGGCGGCCAGCUGGGCCGUUGCUGACGCUGAGGCGCGACAGCGUGGGGAGCAAACAGGAUUAGAUACCCUAGUAGUCC